rnacentral:rRNA from 1 species
AUUGAACGCUGGCGGCAGGCCUAACACAUGCAAGUCGAGCGGAUGAAGAGAGCUUGCUCUCUGAUUUAGCGGCGGACGGGUGAGUAAUGCCUAGGAAUCUGCCUGGUAGUGGGGGACAACGUUUCGAAAGGAACGCUAAUACCGCAUACGUCCUACGGGAGAAAGUGGGGGAUCUUCGGACCUCACGCUAUCAGAUGAGCCUAGGUACGAUUAGCUAGUUGGUGAGGUAAAGGCUCACCAAGGCGACGAUCGUUAACUGGUCUGAGAGGAUGAUCGAUCACACUGGAACUGAGACACGGUCCAGACUCCUACGGGAGGCAGCAGUGGGGAAUAUUGGACAAUGGGCGAAAGCCUGAUCCAGCCAUGCCGCGUGUGAAGAAGGUCUUCGGAUUGUAAAGCACUUUAAGUUGGGAGGAAGGGCAGUAAGUUAAUACCUUGCUGUUUUGACGUUACCGACAGAAUAAGCACCGGCUAACUUCGUGCCAGCAGCCGCGGUAA